UGCGGCGUAGCUCAGUGGUAGAGCGCCGGGUUCAUACCCCGGAGGUCGCAGGUUCGGGCCCUGCCGCCGCUUCCA
rnacentral:tRNA from 7 species